GUCCACACGGUAAACGAUGAAUACUCGCUGUUGGCGAUAUACAGUCAGCGGCCAAGCGAAAGCAUUAAGUAUUCCACCUGGGGAGUACGCCGGCAACGGUGAAACUCAAAGGAAUUGACGGGGGCCCGCACAAGCGGAGGAACAUGUGGUUUAAUUCGAUGAUACGCGAGGAACCUUACCCGGGCUUAAAUUGCACUGGACAGGCCAAGAGAUUGGCUCUUCUUCGGACCAGUGUGAAGGUGCUGCAUGGUUGUCGU
rnacentral:rRNA from 1 species